GACGAACGCUGGCGGCGUGCUUAACACAUGCAAGUCGAACGGAAAGGCCCUGCUUUUGUGGGGUGCUCGAGUGGCGAACGGGUGAGUAACACGUGAGUAACCUGCCCUUGACUUUGGGAUAACUUCAGGAAACUGGGGCUAAUACCGGAUAGGAGCUCCUGCUGCAUGGUGGGGGUUGGAAAGUUUCGGCGGUUGGGGAUGGACUCGCGGCUUAUCAGCUUGUUGGUGGGGUAGUGGCUUACCAAGGCUUUGACGGGUAGCCGGCCUGAGAGGGGGACCGGGCACAUUGGGAGUGAGAGACGGCCCAGACUCCUACGGGAGGCAGCGGUGGGGAAAAUUGUACAAUGGGCGGAAGCCUGAGGCAGCAACGCCGCGUGCGGGAUGACGGCCUUCGGGUUUUAAACCGCUUUCGCCUGUGACGAAGCGUGAGUGACGGUAAUGGGUAAAGAAGCACCGGCUAACUACGUG
rnacentral:rRNA from 1 species